UACGAAGGGGGCUAGCGUUGUUCGGAAUUACUGGGCGUAAAGGGCGCGUAGGCUGUGCUGUAAGUCAGGCGUGAAAGCCCCGGGCUCAACCUGGGAAUUGCGCUUGAUACUGCGGCGCUGGAAGGUGGGAGAGGAUGGCGGAAUUCCCAGUGUAGAGGUGAAAUUCGUAGAUAUUGGGAAGAACACCGGUGGCGAAGGCGGCCAUCCGGCCCAUUUUUGACGCUGAGGCGCGAAAGCGUGGGGAGCAAACAGG
rnacentral:rRNA from 1 species